AGAUGUUAAAAGCAAGAGACAUGGGAGAGCAUCAUUCCUUUGAGAUUUUAUAAAUCAAACCAAGUUUGGAGUUGUCUUGUCUGAUUUGGAGAGUCAUCAUUCUUGGUCUUCGCUCUUAGAGGCCACUGAUGAAGAACAGGCGGUGACUGGGAUGAAUCCUGGUCAGAGAGGAUAAUCUUCUUUCCCCUAAACUGAUGCAGCGGUGGUUUUAAAGGAGGACGCUGCCCUGGAUGAUGUAGAAGAUGUCACAUGCUGUGCUGAUGGGGUUUCUUCAUGAUUACAUCAGUUAUGCUAAAGAGAUCAUGAAAAUUGACCGUGAUGCAUGAUCUGUAUUCAUGGACUAUGAAACAAACUGUAAGUGUAUAAUUUGUUAAAAAAAAAAAAAGUUAAAUGCUUUUUCUGUGUUGUUUAGUAGAAGAGUUUACACUCUGUCAUUCAUACACCUGCUCACAUUCUUUCACACACACACACACGCGUCUGUUAAAUGUUAUAAUAUCAAAGUUAAUGUUGUGAUUUAUUUGUGUACUGUCAUGCCAGAAUAGUUGGAAAAAAACCUAAUUCAGUUCUAUUCAUCAAAUGUUCAAUGCUUUGUUUAUGAACUCUGUAGCUUUUAAUGCCAUCCUUUUCUGCAUUUCUUCUAACAUGUUACUUUUUGACUUUUCUCUUGUUUUUAAUAAAUAUUUUCCUUUUGAUAAUUAUUAUUUGUGUGUAAAAGUGAUAUUUAAAAUGAACAACAUUUGUAGGUUUAAUGCCUAGCUCAAUUUGGGUUAAUUUUAACGUAGAAAUGCAUUGUUUC